AUUGAACGCUGGCGGCAGGCCUAACACAUGCAAGUCGAACGAGUGGCGGACGGGUGAGUAAUGUCUGGGAAACUGCCCGAUGGAGGGGGAUAACUACUGGAAACGGUAGCUAAUACCGCAUACCAUCAGAUGUGCCCAGAUGGGAUUAGCUGGUAGGUGGGGUAACGGCUCACCUAGGCGACGAUCCCUAGCUGGUCUGAGAGGGUGACCAGCCACACUGGAACUGAGACACGGUCCAGACUCCUACGGGAGGCAGCAGUAGGGAAUCGUGCACAAUGGGCGAAAGCCUGAUGCAGCCAUGCCGCGUGUGUGAAGAAGGCAUUCGGGUUGUAAAGCAAUUUCGGCGGGGAGGCGUUACCCGCAGAAGAAGCACCGGCUAACUCCGUGCCAGCAGCCGCGGUAAUAC
rnacentral:rRNA from 1 species